UGACAGCCAUCUUUGUGUUUACUUUAGUCAAUGAGUUAUAUUUACUAGAGGGGCUAUCAUGUGACUUUGGGUACGCUGAACUCGACUCCAUCUUGACACAGUCAUUCAACCGUUGACACAGACCCGCAAUGACUUGUCACUGUGCAGCGUUCGCUUGUAGCAAUCGUAGUGGAAAAUGUUCGGACCUCAUAACAUUUCAUUGGUGUGCCAUUAAAACAAAGACAGAAGAGUUGAUUUGUACUCCUGAUUGCUUACUAAAGUUUUGUAACAGUAAGUAUGUAAUAUUUACACAACAGACACAUUGUUAAUUAUCUAAAUUUAUUAAGCAAAAGAAAAAAGAAAGAAAAACACCCUGACAUUUGCUUUGUGGAUUGCUUCCUAAAGCUCUGUAACAGUAAAUAAAUUUAUUUUUCACAUUUUAUGGACAACAACAUCGACCUCACAUACAGCACAUAGAUCUCACCAAAACUUGCUCCGUUUGCUAUGAACAUCAUAACAUACAUUGCAGGUUUUAUGGUGCGUCAGAUUGUAACUGAGGUGUGUUGUGAUGUGUGUAAAUCAUCUUUGGUCUCUAAUGCUGUCCAACCUCAAUAUGAUGAUUUGUAUCAGCUGCUUCAAAUGAAAAAUAAAGGUGGGCUUGUUACACCCUCA